rnacentral:rRNA from 1 species
GAUGAACGCUAGCGGUAGGCUUAACACAUGCAAGUCGAGGGGUAGAGGUUGCUUGCAACCUUGAGACCGGCGCACGGGUGCGUAACGCGUAUGCAACCUACCUUUUACAGAGGGAUAGCCCAGAGAAAUUUGGAUUAAUACCUCAUAGUAUAUAACCUUCGCAUGUUGGUUAUAUUAAAGUUCCAACGGUAAAAGAUGGGCAUGCGUCCUAUUAGCUAGAUGGUAAGGUAACGGCUUACCAUGGCAACGAUAGGUAGGGGUCCUGAGAGGGAGAUCCCCCACACUGGUACUGAGACCCGGACCAGACUCCUACGGGAGGCAGCAGUGAGGAAUAUUGGACAAUGGGCGCAAGCCUGAUCCAGCCAUGCCGCGUGCAGGAAGAAGCAUCUAUGGUGUGUAAACUGCUUUUGUACAGGAAGAAACACCCCGACGUGUCGGGACUUGACGGUACUGUAAGAAUAAGGAUCGGCUAACUCCGUGCCAGCAGCCGCGGUAAAAC